GUGACACAAAUGUGAUUUUUUUCUAAAAAGAAAAUUUUAUUUUCUAUUCUUAUUUUUUAUUCUCUCACUUGAUAAUUAAUUGAUUUUCUUCUUCACUAAUUAACCUUCUAUUCAUCUAGUUCUUCUCGGUGUUAAUUUAAUGGAAUCACGAUAAUCUAAUCUGUGGAUAAUCAAAAAGUCAACUUACCUUUGGAUUCUGUUUGUUAUGUGCCUUUGGUUUUAUCUUUUUGCUUUUCUUGUGAUGUUUUGCUUUUCUAAUUGUUGAUUAAUUGAAUUGAACAAUUAGUGGGAACAGUUAAUUUGUUUUAUGGCCUCAAUGGUAUUUUACAAGUAAUUAAAUUGUGAAGAUUUGAUCUUAAUUAAAGCAACAGUAGCAAUCAUAAACAAUUAAUGUUUUAAUCAAUUGUGUUUCUCAAUAACAAUAACAAAAUAUUUUCACUUUUUUUUUGUCUUGUUUACAAUUACUUUUAAUUAGUGUUACCUGUUGAUGGAUAGACUUACCUGGCUUUGAAUUGGAGGUGAUAUUGGAGCCAAAUUAUAUCAGAUUAACAACAAUUAAAAAUGAUCUGUAGUUGAUACAACAAUCAAUCUGAUUUGGAGUCAUGCUGAUUUAUAACAUAUUACAUUCACCACUUGGAAAAGUGCAUUUUUAUUUGCCUCUGGAUUGUGAUUAGGUAAAUUUGAAUCAAUCGGUGAAAUAUGAUGAAAAUUAACGGAAAACCAUUUCAACUAUCGUACAGCAACAACAAUAACAAAUAUACACACACAAUUAACACUCCUGUUGAUUGUGAUUACAUGAUUAGUAUACCAAACUCAUGGAUGACUGAAGAUAUUAAUAUGAGAAGAAGAAAAAAAUUAGUUACGAUUAAGUAAAUGGAAACAAUCACAAGAUGAAUUUAAAUUAAGGAGAACCCAUUGAAUGAGUAAUCUUCAAUCUUCAAUCAAAAACAAUAAUUGAGAAAAUUGUACAAAUCAAAAAAAAUUAAGGUUAAAGGACAAAAGUGAUCGGUUAAUAUUCAUGAAGACAAUUUAAAUCAACAACAAUCACCAGCAUAAACAAUAAUCAAUAUUGAUUACCAAUAAAUUAAUUGUUUAUUAGAAAACUAAUUAAUCAACUUUGUAAACAAACAAAUGAAAGGUUAAUUUGUUUAUACGCUAAUUACCAAUAACAGUUAUCAACAUUUGAUUGGGUCAACUAUUAACAAAUUUCAAUCUCAUCUCCAAUCAAUAAAUGAUGAUUAGUCAAAAAUAAUUACUAAUAUUAUUAUUGAUUGGGUAAUUAAGUUUUUUUUGGUAACAAUUUACUAAUUGUUGUAAUAAUCAAUAUUAAGGAUGAAACAAAAAGGAUUUAACCUGAUUCCUUGUAACUGUUUCAUGAGACAAGUUAAUUUAGAUUAAGCAAAACAAUUUAGUUAAUUUCUUCUUAGCUUCAUCUCAAUCAUUUAAUUCAACUUGAAAUGUUUUCAACUCAAUGUCUGAUUGGACUAUUUAACAAUUAAAUUAAUUAGCCUAAAGGGGUUAAAGGUUAGUGGCUAUUCAAUGACCCAAAUUGAAUAUUCAAUAAUUUACUAACAAUUUACAGUUAAUCUUUGUUGGAAAAUUUAAUAUUUCUUUUCUUUAUUAACUUUUGAUUGUAAUUAAUUAACGUAAUCGUUAUAAUCGUUUGAAAAAUCAAAGUGAAAAUUGUAAACAAACUUUUCCAUAGCAAUCAAUUAAUCAGAAUGAACUUUCGACUUGACUAAUUAAUAUAAACGCCAUUUAACUGAACUAAUCACUAUCUAGAUUAACUAAUUGUGAUUAAACUCUAAUAGAAUUUUUUCAGAUGAUUAAUAAUGAACAAAUUCAAUUGGAUUGUUUUGAUUUCUUCUAAUGAAUUCCGUUGACUGAUUAACUUGAAUCGGCCAAUUUAAUGAUCGCCAAUGUCCAAACUUUCACUGGAAAUCAUGUUCAUCGUGUUUCAAUUAACUAAUUGCUGAAUUGAUGUUUCGAACUCUUUUUUUUUCAUCAGCAUGAAUGACACAAAUUAGAAGUCACUUUCCUCGAGUAUUUUUUUUUCUCGACAAGAUUUGAUUAACCUUAAAUGUCCAUUGUGACAUUAAAUGAUGAACAAUGUUAAGAUCAUUGUGAUUAAAUCGAGAAACAAGUUCUAAAGUCCAAGUGUAAAUUAGGUUCACUGGAUUAAAAGCCUAAUACAAUAAGAGAAUCACAAUUCUUGUUGAUUUGAUUAACAAUCAGGGAAUUGAAAAGUCACUUCCUCUUAUAUAUGUUGAUCUAAAGUAACCAUGAGUUGGAUUAAAUUGUCGAUAACCUUGAAUGGAAAAAUUAAAUUUUCCUCCUCCCUUUUGUCUUCUUAUUGUUAUUGUUUCAACCAUUGUUAAUUCUCGUGAGUUUGUAAUUAAAAUGAUUAAUUUGCUAAUUAUUUUCAGCCGAGAAAAAUGUCCAAAAAUCCAACUAUUAAUGAAUGGAGGAUAUUUGAUUGACCUGAAAAAAAAACCGAACUAAAAAAAAGAGGGAAAAGAUAAUUAUUAUUAUUAUUAUAUCGUAACAUUAAACAAUUAAUGUGAUUAUUUCACAAACUCACCAUGAAAAUGUUAAGGAUUAAAGUGACAAGGUUAGGUUAGUAUGGAAAAGAGAUAAUUACUGAUUAAAAUUGAAUAUGUUCAUGACCUUUAAUCACCAAUAGUAAGAAUAAAAAAGGAAUUGACAAUUUUCACUUUUCUUUUUCUCACCAACUAAACAUAAACACGAAGGUCGCAGUUCAACAGGUAUUGAUUUCGUUUCUACACCGAUCAACAUGUACCGAUCAAAUUUUACAAAUACUUUUUUCAAUGUUCUUCUAAUAAUUUUAUUAUUUCAUUAUAACAUUAUAUCUUUAAUCAUUUAACCUUUUAUCAAGUGAUGGGCGAUAUUUGAAAAAAAUAUCAUCGACAAUAUCGAGAUCACUACAUUUAUGGUGUUGGAGUUAACCCGGCAGCAACACACGCAGCCAUACACGUACCAAGGGCAACAUUGCAAGCUAUGACAGCGGCUGGUGCACUAGCUCCAAAAGUAACACCCAUAGUUGCCCCUGCAGCUCCAUAACAAGCAACAGCCAUUGCAUUACAGCCUGUUUGACAAAUGCCAUAGCUCAAAGGUCCACCGUUGACCAAAAAAGGGAUACAAAGGAAAACGAAUAAGAAUUUCAUCAAGGAGAACAUUUUGUAUCAAAUUACCAAACAAAAUGGACGGCAGAAAGUGAAUAUAUCAGGUAAUCAAAGGUACGAGAUGAAGGCGUAGAAAAAAAUGAUCCAAAUUAAAAUCUAUUGAGAAAAAAGAUAUAAGAAAAGAAAAGAAAACAAUUAAAAAGUUGCGAUUUAAAAG